ensembl:lncRNA
AGUCGGCAAGAGGCUUCAGUCGGCAGACUUAAACCAAAGUCAUGCAGAUAUUUACAGAGUGCUGCAGAGGGCAGAUAGGAAUACAAAGGGAAUUUCAUACAAUAAUGCUAAAACUUUAUUUAAUUAAAAGCUUCUUGUUAAACCUAACCAAAUUCUGUCCCCUGUUACUUACAUUAAGAUGAAGUGAAACCUUUCCCUCUGUUCACAUGGGCACCUGAAAACUUACUGUAAGAGCACACAGAGCUAUAUUUGAAUUUACAUGAUGGCCAAGCUGUCUGUAUUGUGUCAAAGAGGUAUCAGCUGAAGUUUGAGGCUUGGCUGUACUUUUGAGUAAUACCACGUUUGACCUCAAGAUGGUGCAGUGAGUCAGAGACUAAAGCAUAACUAGUCAGGGUAGCUCCCAGUCUGAGACAUACACUGCAUUAGCUCAACAUUUGUACAGAAUUCCCGUCACUAUUAUACCUAGAAGAUGAUCAGAAACUGGUAAGUUAAAAAUAAAAUGAGCAAAUACACAUCGAAAUACUAGAAUAGUUGGAAGUAAUUCGUAACUAAGUUAAAUAAAGAAAUAAUUCAGAUGUAAAUAGGAGGAAAAAUCUGCCAUCUCGUGGUCAAAAUCUUUCAGUUAAUUUAGCAAUUAUAAAAAAACAAAAUAAAAAAACAGCUGUUUCAAUAAUUUAAGCUACUUUUAUAAAGACUGCACUUGUGGCUUGUGAUGGUGUCAUUUGUUGGAAUUAAUACGUGUAAAGAAAACAGCAAAUACAGCACUGUUGUUAUUCAAAACUGUUAAAAUGAUGGGUAACGUUUUCCUUUAAUAUUUUGAGCAAAUGCAGGACACUCUGUAUUGCACCAAAAAUGUAUUAAUACGCAAAGAAAAGCCCAAUUUACUCCCACUUGAUUAAUGUUUGCAAUUAGCUUAACAUCCAGCUGUUAAAGAGAGUUACUGAGAGUUUUACACUAACAAAUCAUUUAUGUGUCACCUGUUAUUUCAGAUUUAUGUCGUCACUGAGUAUGAACAGG